rnacentral:rRNA from 1 species
AUUGAACGCUGGCGGCAGGCCUAACACAUGCAAGUCGAGCGGAAGAAGGGAGCUUGCUCCUGGAUUCAGCGGCGGACGGGUGAGUAAUGCCUAGGAAUCUGCCUGGUAGUGGGGGAUAACGUCCGGAAACGGGCGCUAAUACCGCAUACGUCCUGAGGGAGAAAGGGGGGGAUCUUCGGACCUCACGCUAUCAGAUGAGCCUAGGUCGGAUUAGCUAGUUGGUGGGGUAAAGGCCUACCAAGGCGACGAUCCGGAACUGGUCUGAGAGGAUGAUCAGUCACACUGGAACUGAGACACGGUCCAGACUCCUACGGGAGGCAGCAGUGGGGAAUAUUGGACAAUGGGCGAAAGCCUGAUCCAGCCAUGCCGCGUGUGUGAAGAAGGUCUUCGGAUUGUAAAGCACUUUAAGUUGGGAGGAAGGGCAGUAAGUUAAUACCUUGCUGUUUUGACGUUACCAACAGAAUAAGCACCGGCUAACUUCGUG